rnacentral:miRNA from 14 species
UGGGGUAAGUAGCUGAAUCAGAGUGCUUUAAGAAACUAGCUGAGGGCUGGAGAGAUGGCUCAGCCGUUAAGGGCUAGGCUCACAACCAAAAAUAUA